AACUUCGUUCGAAUCACACAGAACAAAUUAUCAGUCCGAAAUUAGUUUAUUUCGGUCUAUUAUUCUUGCCCGGAUCCAAAUCUUCGAAUGUAAACAAGUAUUAAAUAAUUUGGUUCCUACUCGUCCACCGUGAAAUCGCGUACGAGAAUCCAUAAUUGAGCCUCGAUUCACUGGUAAAUCAUCCGUGACCGUGGAACCAGAUGUUCAGACCGCAGGUAAAUUUAUCAGAUCUUUGAAUCAAUUCAAACACAGUCUAUAAUAGUUUGGCCAAUAUCGUUUUGGCACGUUCUGUUUGCAUCUCAUUUAGACUUAAAUUCCAGAACUCAAUUAUCUGUGUUCUCUCGUAAAGACAAAGUGGGAAACUAGAAAAUUGUUUUUCUCAAAUAUCUCCACCGUAUAGGUCAUCCACAUCCAGUGCAUGUGUUCAGCUCCCUGGAGAUUUUUAUUCUCCACGCGUCUGCACUUCCUUGCGAUCCUCUCCACGUCUGGACGUCUGGUGCAUGGAUCCCUCGCCAUCAGCCUUAUCCCACGGCUGAUUUUUUUGUCUUCACAACAGAUUUUCUUUCCUCAGCCUCAUCCUCACGUCUCUCUCUGUUAGAUUUUUUUCAAGUCGUGUUCAUCUUCUACAGCCGCCGCCCCUGGAUUUCUACAAAUCCACCACCGAGCGUUCCACUCUCCUCCUGAGCUCCUCCAGCCAGCUCGCCCUCCCAACUCCUGCCGCACUGAGCUCAUUGCACGCUCCUGUGCCCCUGCCUCGUCUAGCUCCAGCGCUCGGUGUCCCUCAGCCCAGCUGUGUCUACGUGCUGCUCGCUCCGAGCUCCCUGUGCCAUGGCGUCAGCCGCAGUUCACCGCGCUCGGCCUCCCGUCUUGCCGCGAGUCCCGGCUCGAAUCUCCAUGGCCGCAGGCCUCUGGUGCCGCGCGCGUGCCCUUGUCAUGGUCCUGCGCGUCCUGCGUCUUCUUCCCCGAGCUCGGCCGCCGAGCUCUCUGCGCGCGACUCUGCUCUUCUGGGUGCGCGCCUGGGUCCCUGCUGAGCUCGGCGUCUAUCUCUCUAUAGCUCUAGUUUUUCCCCAGCACGCUUUCUUCCCUGCUCGGCCAUGGGAGCCGCGCCGUCGACCCUGCCUGAAUCCCCUCGGCCACGUCUUCCUUCUUGCUCCUUGCGCGAGCCGCAACCCUCUGACCAGUCCCAGCCGAACUCCCUCCAGUCCAACCGCUGCUCCUGGCUCGCCCGUCCGUGCGGCACUUCGUCUAUAGCCGCUGUCCGCCGUCGAGUUCCUGUACGCGCGCCUCUGGUUCGCCACUGCUCUCUGCGCGCGCGCUCUGCUCGGCCUCUAUGGCGCUCGACGUUUAGAUUUUCUGCGUGCAGCUUCCUCAAAUCACCGUGUGCCUAGCUCGCUCCAGCUCGCCGGUCGAGUUUCUCCCUCGCGUUCAGACCCGGCCGUUAACGCCCAGUCAUGUGUUCUUUUUCCCCAGCUCGGAUCUCAUCAGCCACCGUUCUCUAACCCGUGUCUCGGUCGGCAUCGUGGAGUUUUGGUUGAUUGGCUCGCCGUUGACCUCGUCGGUGUCGUCGAACACUCAAUCUCGUUGAACCCCGAAUCCCGGACGUUAGGCAAAAAUAAGCGAGGUCCGUGUGCAUCGCUCAUCAAGUGCUCGACACAAAGAGCUGAAUCAGAAUCCUUGCCGUGUUCGCGGAUAGCGCGUCAGAUUUAGAAUGGUACGAUAAUUAAUCACGUGAUGCGGAAGAUGACCCAAGUCGACCCCAAGCGCGGGCUACUCCGCAUGGAGAUGCUGAUGAACGAACCUGCCUGAUCAAGUGCUAGAACAAGGAUGAUCGCUAAGUGGACGUCGUCUAACAACACUAACCUAGUGUUACCCAGGCAAGCCCCGGUGCAUGCAACCCCUUCCUUGUGUUUUUAAAUUAUUUUUGCACACUUUAAGUCUAGUGAAAUGUGCAUUAGGUUUAUAGAAGUUGCUUGGAAACCCUUUGAUGCAUUGGCUACCUUGAAAUCCAUUCCUUUUAUAGAUACUUCUGGUGAAGUAUCAAAAUAUAAUUUACAAAAAAUGCUUAGCCCUGCUUAUAAGCAGAUAGAGUUUGUCCUUUGCACUUAUGCCUAGCUCAGGUUUAUCCUGAGGAAGGAUGACUUCUACCUGCAAGAAUAUUUUCAGUGGGAGCAUGGUGGGAUCUUACUGCAAAGUUCCCUAUAAUGCUCUUUUCAUCCUUAGGAACACAAAACAAUCCUAAGGGUGGAAGUACUUAACUCGAGACUUGGGCUAGGAACAAGUGAUGUUCCGUCCGGGUCAAUUAAGGAUUGGAUGCGUAUGUAGGCCUGAUAGAUCAAGGACUAUCUUAACUAGCCACAUGCCCUGGAAAUGGGACAGGGUAAGCUUGAACCCGGCUAUUCCAUACGUGAAAAGACAACCGCGCACUGGGCGUGGGAGAUGGUGGGAGUAGCGUGUGCCCUCCUGGCUAGAGGCUGGAUGGAGGAGUACUGUGCUCCCGGGUAGCGCGGACCGGUUCACGUUGUGGAGGAUCUGUGGGAACGGUUGACAUAUGCAAGGGUUAAGUGCUACAUAUGUCGUGUGGUUAGAGAUCCUCAGCUGAGUAAAUCGAUUCGGAUCGCCGUUAUAUCCCCGGAGAGUGGAGACUUGAUCACUGACCUGCAACCUAAGUCGGGAUGUGAACCUCAUGAAUAAAAAUGAUGUUGUAUUGAUGAGAUGGUGAAAUUAGACCAGAUGCAAACAGAGUCUAUUAAUAUUUAAUCUGGCGUUAAAAUAUUGAAAGUAAGGACUCACUUUAGUAAGUUAUUUCUGCAAAAGUAUCUAAGUUGAUUCUUGCUAAAGCCUCUCCUUAAUUCCCAAAUCCAGCAUACCCUUGAGAGUCUUUUCUUUAGUCGGGUAAGUCUUGCUGAGUAAUUCCAUACUCAGGGUUUUAUUCCCUGUUGUUUUUCAGGUCAUAGUUUUGUGCUGCUGAUGAUGGUGUUAAAUGCCGGUGGGCUCGGCCUUCUUAUAAGUCUAAGUAAUCCUUCUAUACUUCUUAAUGAGGAUGGUCCCUUGAGCUAGCAUAUAUUUUAAACUUAUACUUUUGCAAUCACUCCGAUAAAAUAAUGUAAAAUUUUUGUAACUUGUAAAAUUUGGUAACAAGAUUUCCGCUGCAAAAAUAUUGGUGUGUGUGAUUUGUGUUACUUAAUCCCGCGGUUCUGGUUGUAAGUGGUUUAUCUGAGGUCCUUGGGACACUCGGACGGAUCCUGUUAAGUUAUUUGGUGCACAUGCAUAGCCGUCUGAGGUCUUUGAGACAAGGACAGGUGCAUGUGGGCCCAAUAACUUGGGAGGUUCUGCCACAGCUGGUAUCGGAGCAGGAUUAAGUUUAUACGGUCACAUACGUAUUUUCAAAACAAAAGUUUUGGUUUUAGAAAACCUAUUUUCAACUAAACCCAUAGUUUGGUUUUGAAAAACAGAUUUGAAAAACUAUAAUGCUAGCGACAUCCUCUGUUAAGCCCUAAAGUAAGGACUAUCAGGUGGCUUAGUUGAAAACCAUAACCCAUAAGGCCUAGUUUGGAUACUUUGGGAUUAGAGUGUUUUGGAGGGAUUGGAGAGGAUGUAAAUCCCCAAUAGAUCAAAUACUCUCUCAAUACAUCUCAAUCCACUUCAAACCUACUCAUUACUAGAGUACCCAAACUAGGCCUAACCGGGUGGGUAUUGCAUACAUGUGUAUUGUUAUUUUUGAGGCCAUUCAAUUGUGGAUGGAUCGACACUCAAGGUAAGGUGAGAUGUGAGAGUAUGACCGAACAACCGUCGGUCUAGGGGAGUGCUUAAUUGUGGCGCUUGAUUAUAUACAUGUUUUACAUAUGUAUAUAUGAAGGCUGCGAUGUGGAGUAAUUACUUUUCCGAGAAUUCAGUACCCCAUAGAUGUGUAUGGGUAUACAGACAUGGGAAUACUGAGAAGUGUAAUGUACUUGUAACGACGCACCUACGCCCAGGUAAGAAGGUGAGUUACCAUAAUGAGUUGCCCUAUGGUAAAAGUGUGGCAACGGCGCCUAUGCGUGGCUCGGCGCUUAAUGAUGAGCUGGCCUCCAUAUAGCAAUAUAUGGAGUAUAAACUGUGAUAAACUGUCAUGUAUGGAUUGCAUCAUUGGGAAAUGGGCUGUGAUGGAAAUUUUCUGCAGGUACACUAACCUCGAAAACGUAUGUGUAGUUGACGACUAGAAAAAUACCGUGAGAGUCGUAAGAAUGCCACCGAUAUAGAACGUUAUUGCCACAUUUGGUUGGCAAAAUCAGUGAGGACGUGUAGGACGAGCAUGCAUCCUGAUUGUUGCAUCAUGUUUGUCACCUAUACACCCAAAAUGCUUCUCUUGCCUCUAUUCCAGUAACCAUUGAUUGUAGAUAAUGUGGUGUAGUGUUGAAUUAUGAACUUCGAUGAAAUAGGUGUCCUCCAUUCUUUAGGUAACCUAUUAAGGUCUUAUAUGGUGUUUGCUCUUGUGCUUGAUGUGUCGAUAGAAGGUUAGUAACUUGUUUGCUUAAACCCAGAAUUAGGCCAUGUUCUUAUUUAGUGAUUCAUGACCCAAAACUUAAAAUUUUCCGUUAUCACUCCAGGACCAAACACAUAAAAAUAAAUGCCUAGAUAAUUUCUUUGUUGAACAUAAAAUGUACCCAAGCUUAAAACAAGGAUCUCGAGUCUGUAUUCUUGGUAAUUAGCUUAUAACUCUUUUAUGGUCCUAUUUCCAACCAAAACCAUGCCUUUACUUUGUUGGUGAAAGCUGAUGUCCCUUAUCUAGUUUGUCUGUUCUUAAGGAUCGCCAUGUUGCUUUACCAACCUAACCUAAGGAAGACGUACCCAAUCUUUUUUCUUGAGUUGAUGCCUUUGGUUUCCCCAUAUCUAUCAAAGGCAUAUCAACUUAAUCCUUGACCUCGUAAUCUCUGCGAUGGGCAUAGAAAUAUGCUUGGGGCUGAAUUAACAGUCUCCCAUCGUACUCCCUUCGUCAUCCAAGUUAGGUUAUGGCCAUGUCUUGUUCAUUCAUCGGGCUGUGAUCUAUGAUUGGCUCUCUACUUGUAACCAUUCUUACAAGUGGAGUCUAUUUUUGUAUAUUGUCAUUCUUGCUCAAUCCAGUUGUGUUGUGCGAGAUUUCUUAUUGGUUACGUCUAAUAAUGGUGUUAUGACUAAAACCGCUGGUGCCGUGACGAAACCGAGGGCCUCCGGUGAAUGUACACACAUGGUUGCGCUACUUGGCACGCGCUGGUAUCACAGUUAGUAGUCAUAAUCCAUUAUGAGACUACAUCAAUGUGUUAUCUUAGCACAAUCUGUUUUUGCUACGUGAGAUUCAUUAUUGGUGUCAGUUCGGUGAUGGUGUCAUGAUUAAGGACUUAUGGUGCCGCAGUGAAACUGAGAGCCCCUUGUGAAUGUACACGCGAGGUUAUGCUGCUUGGCGCAUGCUGGUAUCAAGGUCUCUAGUCAUGAUCCAUUGUAGAACUACACUGAUGUGUGAUCUUCCGUAGAUAUCUUCCUUGAAAUAAUUUCGGUGUUGUUUGUCGAAGUGACCAAGCAACAUCUAUCAUCUUUGUUGGAUCAAAAGGGCAUACCACGUUCAUGUGUGGUCUCUUUUCCCUUGAUCUUGGUAGUGACUCCUUAUACAAGUUCCCUUUACGUCCUUUGUGUAAAGGUGAAGCCUUGGAGCUUUUAGUGUUGAGAGACAACUAAUUAGCUCUCAAAAUGGAGAUCUGUUUCCCCUGCUGCUGAAAUGCAGGAGUUUGUUCAUUCGCUCUCUCAUUUAGUCCAUAUAUUCCCUAACCAAGUCUGUUCAUCUCGCAUGAAGAAACGGAUGAACGACCUGACCAAAUGAAUUUCUAACCACAUACAUGAUCUCGUGUUAACCAGAGUGAACUCUCAACCUUUGGCUUACCGAUGGUACUGAGAGGGCUCGCUCAAUGUCAAAAGUAGUUCAACAAGUUGGUUUUACUAACUUGUAACUGCAUUGUGAACAAAGGCUGAGUUUAGAGAUCGUUCUGUCGAGUUAUCUAAACUCACUUUGGUUCAAACCAUCCUAAAGAAAGUACUUACACGGAUCAAGUUAAGUCAACCAAUAACCACCUAAUUAUCGCUCUAGUCACGCCUCGACCGCCUCACGUGUGCUUUUUCAGCGUGUGUGAUCAUGUCGAUCCAUGUCUAGUGCUUGCUAAAAUGGAUUGGUUGCAAAGACAACAUCUACAGAUCCCUCCACUGGUGAUUCUCUCGAAUCUAUAUCACCUUUCAGGGACAUGGAUUUUCUGGCUAGCCACGGGUCAACUGUGAUGUUAUUCGACAUUCACACCCGUCUCCUGUGCUAUGGAUUUACGGUAACCACUUGUUGGUAAACCUCUUUCUGUGUGUUUUACCCAAGAGGUUGCAUCUGAUUCUGUUUGGGGAAGAUCGCGUAAUUGCCACUUGCCCAAUAGACUCAGAUAGUACAGUGUCAUCAGAGAAAGCCAACUGCACCCAUGGAACCUUAUGUGUUCCUCUGGCAGACAUCGUCUCUACUGAUGGACAUAUAUGAUUUAGCUUGUGGCGAUACAUGUUAUGUCCACUAGAGAAACGAUAUUCUGAGACACUCGCCUUCGCCCAAGACUGCCUUAUGAUUAUCGCUGAUAUGGACAUGGGGUACAUGCUUCUCUACCCUUAGAAGUCUUUCACUCCGAAUCUCGGGACGAGAUUCUUUUAAGGGGGAGGGCUGUAACACCCCAGGUGUUUACCGUAUGCUCGACAACGAGUAUGGACUUAAGCACGAAAUAUCAGUGGAUAACACGGAUUUUAAAUUUUAAUCAUUCUCGCUUAUCGCGAUUUUAAUAUCGCAUCUGUUCCAUUUGUCGCGGGUGCAACAUCAUUUUUACUUCUAAUUAUCCGAGUUCUUCCGAAAUUUUCGUGCUGUUCGGAACAUCGUUGUUCCGAAAAUCGGUGUGUCCGGUGAUUAUUUAAAAUUCAUCGCUCGCGCGAAUGCGAAUUUGGAAGACCGACCCACUCGGAUGAUUUUUAUCCCAAGCAAAUUAGUUUGAACUCGACGACUAAAAUAUUUGGGGUAAAAUAAUCCAAAUCGCGCAUCGUCCGAGUGAAAUCGUGCGCGAGGUUAUGAUCCAAUUUAUCCUUCAGCACGCGGUUUUAACGACGAAAUCGCGUAUAUAUUGCGGAUCGGGUUUCGGCUAACUUCGUUCGAAUCACACAGAACAAAUUAUCAGUCCGAAAUUAGUUUAUUUCGGUCUAUUAUUCUUGCCCGGAUCCAAAUCUUCGAAUGUAAACAAGUAUUAAAUAAUUUGGUUCCUACUCGUCCACCGUGAAAUCGCGUACGAGAAUCCAUAAUUGAGCCUCGAUUCACUGGUAAAUCAUCCGUGACCGUGGAACCAGAUGUUCAGACCGCAGGUAAAUUUAUCAGAUCUUUGAAUCAAUUCAAACACAGUCUAUAAUAGUUUGGCCAAUAUCGUUUUGGCACGUUCUGUUUGCAUCUCAUUUAGACUUAAAUUCCAGAACUCAAUUAUCUGUGUUCUCUCGUAAAGACAAAGUGGGAAACUAGAAAAUUGUUUUUCUCAAAUAUCUCCACCGUAUAGGCCAUCCACAUCCAGUGCAUGUGUUCAGCUCCCUGGAGAUUUUUAUUCUCCACGCGUCUGCACUUCCUUGCGAUCCUCUCCACGUCUGGACGUCUGGUGCAUGGAUCCCUCGCCAUCAGCCUUAUCCCACGGCUGAUUUUUUUGUCUUCACAACAGAUUUUCUUUCCUCAGCCUCAUCCUCACGUCUCUCUCUGUUAGAUUUUUUUCAAGUCGUGUUCAUCUUCUACAGCCGCCGCCCCUGGAUUUCUACAAAUCCACCACCGAGCGUUCCACUCUCCUCCUGAGCUCCUCCAGCCAGCUCGCCCUCCCAACUCCUGCCGCACUGAGCUCAUUGCACGCUCCUGUGCCCCUGCCUCGUCUAGCUCCAGCGCUCGGUGUCCCUCAGCCCAGCUGUGUCUACGUGCUGCUCGCUCCGAGCUCCCUGUGCCAUGGCGUCAGCCGCAGUUCACCGCGCUCGGCCUCCCGUCUUGCCGCGAGUCCCGGCUCGAAUCUCCAUGGCCGCAGGCCUCUGGUGCCGCGCGCGUGCCCUUGUCAUGGUCCUGCGCGUCCUGCGUCUUCUUCCCCGAGCUCGGCCGCCGAGCUCUCUGCGCGCGACUCUGCUCUUCUGGGUGCGCGCCUGGGUCCCUGCUGAGCUCGGCGUCUAUCUCUCUAUAGCUCUAGUUUUUCCCCAGCACGCUUUCUUCCCUGCUCGGCCAUGGGAGCCGCGCCGUCGACCCUGCCUGAAUCCCCUCGGCCACGUCUUCCUUCUUGCUCCUUGCGCGAGCCGCAACCCUCUGACCAGUCCCAGCCGAACUCCCUCCAGUCCAACCGCUGCUCCUGGCUCGCCCGUCCGUGCGGCACUUCGUCUAUAGCCGCUGUCCGCCGUCGAGUUCCUGUACGCGCGCCUCUGGUUCGCCACUGCUCUCUGCGCGCGCGCUCUGCUCGGCCUCUAUGGCGCUCGACGUUUAGAUUUUCUGCGUGCAGCUUCCUCAAAUCACCGUGUGCCUAGCUCGCUCCAGCUCGCCGGUCGAGUUUCUCCCUCGCGUUCAGACCCGGCCGUUAACGCCCAGUCAUGUGUUCUUUUUCCCCAGCUCGGAUCUCAUCAGCCACCGUUCUCUAACCCGUGUCUCGGUCGGCAUCGUGGAGUUUUGGUUGAUUGGCUCGCUGUUGACCUCGUCGGUGUCGUCGAACCUUGAUCUUCCCUACUCAAUCUCGUUGAACCCCGAAUCCCGGACGUUAGGCAAAAAUAAGCGAGGUCCGUGUGCAUCGCUCAUCAAGUGCUCGACACAAAGAGCUGAAUCAGAAUCCUUGCCGUGUUCGCGGAUAGCGCGUCAGAUUUAGAAUGGUACGAUAAUUAAUCACGUGAUGCGGAAGAUGACCCAAGUCGACCCCAAGCGCGGGCUACUCCGCAUGGAGAUGCUGAUGAACGAACCUGCCUGAUCAAGUGCUAGAACAAGGAUGAUCGCUAAGUGGACGUCGUCUAACAACACUAACCUAGUGUUACCCAGGCAAGCCCCGGUGCAUGCAACCCCUUCCUUGUGUUUUUAAAUUAUUUUUGCACACUUUAAGUCUAGUGAAAUGUGCAUUAGGUUUAUAGAAGUUGCUUGGAAACCCUUUGAUGCAUUGGCUACCUUGAAAUCCAUUCCUUUUAUAGAUACUUCUGGUGAAGUAUCAAAAUAUAAUUUACAAAAAAUGCUUAGCCCUGCUUAUAAGCAGAUAGAGUUUGUCCUUUGCACUUAUGCCUAGCUCAGGUUUAUCCUGAGGAAGGAUGACUUCUACCUGCAAGAAUAUUUUCAGUGGGAGCAUGGUGGGAUCUUACUGCAAAGUUCCCUAUAAUGCUCUUUUCAUCCUUAGGAACACAAAACAAUCCUAAGGGUGGAAGUACUUAACUCGAGACUUGGGCUAGGAACAAGUGAUGUUCCGUCCGGGUCAAUUAAGGAUUGGAUGCGUAUGUAGGCCUGAUAGAUCAAGGACUAUCUUAACUAGCCACAUGCCCUGGAAAUGGGACAGGGUAAGCUUGAACCCGGCUAUUCCAUACGUGAAAAGACAACCGCGCACUGGGCGUGGGAGAUGGUGGGAGUAGCGUGUGCCCUCCUGGCUAGAGGCUGGAUGGAGGAGUACUGUGCUCCCGGGUAGCGCGGACCGGUUCACGUUGUGGAGGAUCUGUGGGAACGGUUGACAUAUGCAAGGGUUAAGUGCUACAUAUGUCGUGUGGUUAGAGAUCCUCAGCUGAGUAAAUCGAUUCGGAUCGCCGUUAUAUCCCCGGAGAGUGGAGACUUGAUCACUGACCUGCAACCUAAGUCGGGAUGUGAACCUCAUGAAUAAAAAUGAUGUUGUAUUGAUGAGAUGGUGAAAUUAGACCAGAUGCAAACAGAGUCUAUUAAUAUUUAAUCUGGCGUUAAAAUAUUGAAAGUAAGGACUCACUUUAGUAAGCUAUUUCUGCAAAAGUAUCUAAGUUGAUUCUUGCUAAAGCCUCUCCUUGAUUCCCAAAUCCAGCAUACCCUUGAGAGUCUUUUCUUUAGUCGGGUAAGUCUUGCUGAGUAAUUCCAUACUCAGGGUUUUAUUCCCUGUUGUUUUUCAGGUCAUAGUUUUGUGCUGCUGAUGAUGGUGUUAAAUGCCGGUGGGCUCGGCCUUCUUAUAAGUCUAAGUAAUCCUUCUAUACUUCUUAAUGAGGAUGGUCCCUUGAGCUAGCAUAUAUUUUAAACUUAUACUUUUGCAAUCACUCCGAUAAAAUAAUGUAAAAUUUUUGUAACUUGUAAAAUUUGGUAACAAGAUUUCCGCUGCAAAAAUAUUGGUGUGUGUGAUUUGUGUUACUUAAUCCCGCGGUUCUGGUUGUAAGUGGUUUAUCUGAGGUCCUUGGGACACUCGGACGGAUCCUGUUAAGUUAUUUGGUGCACAUGCAUAGCCGUCUGAGGUCUUUGAGACAAGGACAGGUGCAUGUGGGCCCAAUAACUUGGGAGGUUCUGCCACAGUAAACACAUUUAUACAUCAGAUGAUUACAGAUCUGCUUAAACGAGACAAACCUAUAAAGGUGGCGAUCAACUUUAAGAGUUGGUCCACAACUCGGGACAUAUCAUCAGAGUGGGCUGAAGCAGCCCGAUAUACGCAGCGAAGCAAAUCAGCGGUCCAACAGCCACAGGCAAGGUUGGGAACAUUCGUAACUCUUACCCGAUCUCCUUUUCUGAAAAACAACAAAUAAGCAAGGGUGAGUACAAACGUACUCAGCAGCCCACCUUCACCCGCGGAAUGGGGAAAUCAGAUAUAAUGCUGGAAUAUGUAGAUCUCAGGAUAUUUGCAGAAACAACAAUAUUUUAUGCAGGGUUGUUUUGAAAAACAUUUUGUAUUUUGCAAAGUGCAUCCUCUCCAAAAGGAGCAGGAAGUUUUUCAAUAUUAGAACAAAAUCCCCUGGACUAAACCAUCCAGGUAUCUCAGCAGUUUCCCACUGGUUUUCCUUUUCAAAAACAGCUAUUGGACUUCCCGUCCACCAUAGCUCACGGCUCAACCGCCGAACCUUUUAAAAACCACUUGUUGGGGGCCUUCGUCCUCCGAAGGUCCUCAAAAACAUGAUUUGACAAUAUCUUCCAAGUGAAAUGUAUGAACAGAUAUCUUCGGACCCAGAUUGUGAACAUGAAGUACGAUCAGGACGAAGCUUAAGCUAGACGAAGGAAGAUUGAGAUGAAGGACGGGCUGAUCACCAAGCCGUACGAGGGAUGGUGCAUAGCCGAAGCUAUGCGCAGGGGAGCUUCGGCAUAGUGGCAGAAAGGGGAACCGACUUAAAGAUGAAAAGACUACUUAGGCUUUGACAGAUCCUCAUAAGUCAUUAGCAAAUGUAGUGGACAUGAAUGUAAUUUUACAUGGGCUGCGUCCCACGUCUAUAAAUAGAUGAACAGUACUCCCGUACUGUUCACGCUGACUUGGCAUUUGCUUUUGCGUCACAUUUGUAUUUUCAUCUCCUUCCAAGCCGAAGGUACAUUUGUAAUUCGAUAUUGUCUCUAUUUUUCUAUGA